rnacentral:rRNA from 1 species
UACGAAGGGGCUAGCGUUGCUCGGAAUCACUGGCGUAAAGCGCACGUAGGCGGAUCGUUAAGUCAGGGGUGAAAUCCUGGAGCUCAACUCCAGAACUGCCUUUGAUACUGGCGAUCUUGAGUUCGGGAGAGGUGAGUGGAACUGCGAGUGUAGAGGUGAAAUUCGUAGAUAUUCGCAAGAACACCAGUGGCGAAGGCGGCUCACUGGCCCGAUACUGACGCUGAGGUGCG